rnacentral:rRNA from 1 species
GCACGGACUUCGGUCUGGUGGCGAGUGGCGAACGGGUGAGUAAUAUAUCGGAACGUAUCCAUAAUGGGGGAUAACUAAUCGAAAGGUUGGCUAAUACCGCAUACGCCCUACGGGGGAAAGCUAGGGAUCUUCGGACCUGGCGUUAAUGGAGCGGCCGAUAUCUGAUUAGCUAGUUGGUGGGGUAAAGGCCCACCAAGGCGACGAUCAGUAGCUGGUCUGAGAGGGCGACCAGCCACACUGGAACUGAGACACGGUCCAGACUCCUACGGGAGGCAGCAGUGGGGAAUUUUGGACAAUGGGCGCAAGCCUGAUCCAGCCAUUCCGCGUGAGUGAAGAAGGCCUUCGGGUUGUAAAGCUCUUUCGCAAGGGAAGAAAACUUAUCCUCUAACAUAGGAUGAGGUUGACGGUACCUUGAUAAGAAGCACCGGCUAAC